UUAAUACAUGCAAGUCAAGGGGGCAGCAAUGUCACCGGCGGACGGGUGCGUAACGCGUACACAACGUGCCCCAGAGCGGGAGAUAGCAUCGGGAAACUGAUGGUAAUACCCCAUGGUGUUGGAGAUUGGCAUCAAUUUUCAACUAAAGAUUACACUCUGGGAUCGGUGUGCGUAUGAUUAGCUAGUUGGUAGGGUAACGGCUUACCAAGGCGAUGAUCAUUAGGGGGUGUGAGAGCAUGACCCCCCACACGGGUACUGAGACACGGACCCGACUCCUACGGGAGGCAGCAGUAAGGAAUAUUGGACAAUGGUCGGAAGACUGAUCCAGCCAUGCCGCGUGAAGGACGAAGGCGCUCAGCGUUGUAAACUUCUUUUGUACGGGAACAAAACCACCAAUGCGUUGGUGUCUGAGGGUACCGUAAGAAUAAGCACCGGCUAACUCCGUGCCAGCAGCCGCGGUAAUACGGAGGGUGCAAGCGUUAUCCGGAAUCACUGGGUUUAAAGGGUGCGUAGGCGGUUCGAUAAGUCAGUUGUGAAAUUCCCUCGCUUAACGAGUGGGACUGCGAUUGAUACUGUUGAACUUG
rnacentral:rRNA from 1 species